GGCUACAUAGCUCAGUUGGUUAGAGCGCAGCAUUCAUAAUGCUGAUGUCCCAGGUUCAAGUCCCGGUGUAGCCACCA
rnacentral:tRNA from 104 species